rnacentral:rRNA from 1 species
GAGCUGGGUUCAGAACGUCGUGAGACAGUUCGGUCCCUAUCCGUCGUGGGCGUAGGAAAUUUGAGAGGAGCUGUCCUUAGUACGAGAGGACCGGGAUGGACAUACCUCUGGUGUACCAGUUGUCGUGCCAACGGCAUAGCUGGGUAGCUAUGUAUGGACGGGAUAAGUGCUGAAAGCAUCUAAGCAUGAAGCCCCCCUCGAGAUGAGAUUUCCCAACUUCGGUUAUAAGAUCCCUCAAAGAUGAUGAGGUGAAUAGGUUCGAGGUGGAAGCGUAGCGAUACGUGGAGCUGACGAAUACUAAUCGAUCGAAGACUUAAUCAACAU